CCUACGGGCGGCAGCAGUGAGGAAUUUUGGACAAUGGGGGAAACCCUGAUCCAGCAACGCCGCGUGGAGGACGAAGGUCUUCGGAUUGUAAACUCCUUUUAUUGGGGACUAAGAAAUCCGCCGAAAGGUGGGGAGUGAAGGUACCCGAUGAAUAAGCCACGGCUAACUUCGUGCCAGCAGCCGCGGUAAUACGAAGGUGGCAAGCGUUACUCGGAAUUACUAGGCGUAAAGGGCAGGUAGGUGGUCUGGUCAGUCUGUCGUUAAAACGUUCGGCUUAACCGGGCGAGGUCGACGGAUACUGCCGGGCUUGAGCGUAGGAGAGGGUACUGGAAUUCCCGGUGUAGCGGUGAAAUGCGCAGAGAUCGGGAGGAACACCGAUGGCGAAAGCAGGUACCUGGACUAUUGCUGACACUCAGCUGCGAAAGCUAGGGGAGCAAACAGGAUUAGAUACCCUUGUAGUC
rnacentral:rRNA from 1 species